UGUCGGUUUCAGAAAGCCAAAAGAUGAUCAUGCGAGGGGAAUAUUCAUCAUGAUGUUAUCUUUGUUCUUUACAGCUACGAAAAGAUUGCCAUAUCCUUGCAGACAACAAACAAGUUCUUGUUCUCAUGGAACGAAAUCAUGAGCCGAAGAGAUAAGUUUCACGAGGCUGUCAGAUUCACGGCCACUGAUGUGCGUUAGGCUUGACGAACAAUAAUGCAAGAAGAAGAAGAAGAAGAAGAAGAAGCAGCAGCAGCUGCUCAAGGUAAAUGGCAGAAUGGAAGGCAGUACAUGGCGAGGGGCACAUGCCACAUGCACUGGGGGCCUUCUUCAGUCAUUGCAGUGGUAGUACAGUAAGAGAGAAGUGUGGAUUCUU
rnacentral:lncRNA from 1 species